CGGAACUCGGAACUGGAACCCAACGGGUACUAAUAGCCCGCCCCGCUUGCUACUCAAAAUUCACAAAUUGAAUCCAACCGAAAGCCAAAGUGUUUGUUUCACUGGCGACUCAGUUGCUUGGUGGUUCCUAUCAUUCAAAAAUAUAUUUCUCUUUUCCAUUUCAAUUCAAAAAGCCUUGCAAUAUCACUUCUUACAAUUUUGCCUUUUCUCCGUUUCCUUUCUGGGUCUGUCUCCGUCAUGGUUUAUUUGUUCUGGGUUUCUUUCAGUAUCUGAGGAAGCAACACAAAAUGGCGGGAAAAGAGCUUGAACUACAACUGAUGGAUGGUGGGAAUAAACUCCUUAACCCACCAUUUUCCAUUGAUGAGCUUCUGUCUAUUCUUGAAAGAGUUGAGGUUUCUCUCUCAAAGGUGGAUCAAUCACCACGUCAAUCAAUGGUUGCUGCACUUUCACCUUUGAGGAAUGCGUUGGUUUCUGAUAAACUUUUGAGACAUUCAGAUACAGAUGUGAAAGUUUCUGUUGCUGUUUGCAUUAGUGAGAUUAUACGAAUAACAGCUCCGGAUGCUCCUUAUGAUGAUGAAAAAAUGAAGGAAAUAUUUCAUCUGAUUGUAGCUGUGUUUCAUAAACUUUCUCAUACGUCCAGCUGCUGUUACUCAAAGGUGGUGUUAGUCCUUGUUACCAUGGCAAAAACAAGGGCAAUUUUGGUGAUGAUGGACCUUGAGUGUCAUGCUUUGAUUAUUGAGAUGUUUCAACUUUUUCUGAGAAUUACUAGGUCAAACAACUCAGAAGUUGUAUUAGAUGCCAUGGUGACAACAAUGACCAUUGCCAUCUUGGAAAGUGAUGAUAUUUCUUUGGAGAUUCUUGUUCCCCUUUUAGCCAGUGUGAGAAAGGAAAAUCAGAAUGUUUUCCCAAAGUCCUGGAAGUUGGGAAAGGAAGUAAUAAAAAAUUGUGCUGCAAGGAUUGAACCUUAUAUUUUGAAAGCAGUGAGCAGCUUAGGAGUUCCUGUGGACAGUUAUGAUCAAAUAGUUGGUUCUAUUUGCCAAAAUGCAACUGAUUGUAUCAAGUCUUUUGAUGUCCCUGGUUCUGAGGAACAUUUGAUUAAUGAUGAAAGACCAGCUAUCCAAUGUAUGGGUGGGAAGAGGCUUAGGUGCAAAACUACAUCUGAAAAUCCUGGAACUGAAGAAACUACUGACAAGGUACAACUGAAAGUGAUCUCAAAUUUUCUUUCUUGUGGUCCUAUUUAUAUGAAUGGUAUAUUCUGGCCAUAGAUUUCCCUUUGUUUUUAGUAAAGAAAUUAUAAUUCACCAUAACAGAACUCUGUUUUUUGUUAACCAUGCUCUACCCUCUUGAUGAAAUCAUGCUAAAUUUGUGGUUAUAAUUGUUUUGUCUUAUUAUUUUAGUUCUUGCAGUGUAUAUAGAUGCUUUCCUCAGCAUUUGCAUUCUGAUAAUAAGAGUGAAUCCUUUCCCAUUUAUGAGAUGUGUUAUACUUACAUCACCUUUUUGAAAUGCAAAUCACUUUCCUAUUUACUGCAUAAUUUUUUGAAGUUAUGUUAAGCAGAUAGUCGUGUUAUCAUCUGGGACACAGUGUGUUCAAUACGUAGAUAAAUAUUUAAUCUUAAUAAAUUAAAGGAAUGCAAAGAAGAAACUCAAGCCGGAUGUAAAGGUAAUAUGUAAGGUUUAACAGUGUCGUGUGUUGCAUGGCUAAUUAGUACUCCAUAAGAUAUUUUCUAUUAAAUAAAAGUUCACUAAAGACGCAAGAUGUAGAGAUUAGUUUUAAACUUAUAAUGCUCUUGUGACAGAUCAUGGUGGGAUAAUUAAAUAGGUUAUUCAGUUCACAUCCCCCCUUCCUCUGCUUCUAAUCUGAACAGUUGACAUAGAAGAUAUACCCAUAAUACUAUUGGCAUGUUCAUGAAUAAUUUUAUAUUUUAGUUGAUUGAAAUGCUUUGGCCAUUUCUGAUGUAAAUGCAUUAAUCCUCAAGUAAUACAUAUAUUAACAGGGACAAUCAGUAGACUUUCUGAGUGCGGGUUCUUCACUUAAACUGUAUAUUCAGCAACAAGACCAAUCUGUGAACCCAUGGAGUUGUCAAAAAGAAAAGCAGCAGAAUCAAGAGAUGCAGAUCCCACCCUCUGAAGACGCAUUUCCAGCUAAUAGUGGAGGCAGUGGAACAACGAUCGUGCAAGGCUAUGAAGUCAAGGCUAGUGUUGCACCUGUACUUACAGCUAUAUUUGCCAAGUAUGGUGAUAUUGCGGCUAACUGCCGGCACAAGUCACCAUCAGUAAGGGCUUGUUUGCUUGAAAUUGUCUCUGAUAUAUGUUGUUCGCCGACUACAAAGCACUGACAUUCCGCUCACUGUCACUGAGAUUAAAGUCCUCCGAAAUGAAAUAAAAAAUUUGGAGGCUAGAAAGCUAAAGCUUUCAUGGCUUACCCAGCCAUUAGAAAAAAUUUCUGAAGUAGAAAGGAUUGCUGGUGUUAGAAGAAAGACAGCUGGGAUGCGUUCUAUGCUCAAGUCUGUAAAAGCAAGUAGCAUGUUGGUCAUAAAAGCAGCAACCAAGGAGCUGGAAGAUGCACUCAUGGAGCUAGUGGCACUGCAAAGACGCAUGGGGGAGGCUGAAAAGAGUGUAAAUGCAAUGAAGCUUGUGGUUCAAAAGGUUGAUGAUGCCAUUAAAGAGGCUGAGGAUCAGGAGCGUCACUGGCUAAGGAGUAUGAAUGAGCUGCCAUAGUGCUUUCUGCAGAAACAAAUUAACAAAGUACUUGCUAUGAAAUAUCUUUUUUGUGAACAUUGAGGCCUAAUGUUCAUCAACUGCAUUCUGGUAACCAACACAAUCGAACUGCAGUCUAGGCUUGUAUGUGUUGGUGUUGGUUGUUCCUGUGUGCUCCUUUUGUUCCUGCCAGUUUUAAAAAAAUCAAUUUUCCUGUGUUGAGGCUUCCUUGUCGACUCCACAAAAGAUCAUUGUUCUGUGAUUGAUGGCUUGAGGUUCAUGAGAACGGUCUGGUAUUAUUGUCUCCAAUUAGAACUCAAACUCAAAAUUUCAUAAUUUUAAAGGUGACUCUAAUACUAUUGAACUAAAAGUCAUUUGUAGAAUGUUUUUUUUAUUUAAUUUAUACUAAUCCUAAUAGAUCAUUUAUCG
rnacentral:misc_RNA from 1 species